UGGUAUUAUAGGGAGCUUUCCCUUUCACUUGACUUUCAUUCUUCUCCUUCCUGCUACCAUGUGAAGGAUGUGUUUACUUCUCCUUCUGCCAUGAUGGUAAGUUUCCUGAGGCCUCCCUGGUAACUGUGACUCAAGUAAU